rnacentral:rRNA from 1 species
GACGAACGCUGGCGGCGUGCUUAACACAUGCAAGUCGAACGGUGAAAGAAGAGCUUGCUCUUCUGGAUCAGUGGCGAACGGGUGAGUAACACGUGAGUAACCUGCCCCAGACUCUGGAAUAAGCGCUGGAAACGGCGUCUAAUACCGGAUACGAGACAUAGCUGCAUGGCUACUGUCUGGAAAGUUUUUCGGUCUUGGAUGGACUCGCGGCCUAUCAGCUUGUUGGUGAGGUAACGGCUCACCAAGGCAACGACGGGUAGCCGGCCUGAGAGGGCGACCGGCCACACUGGGACUGAGACACGGCCCAGACUCCUACGGGAGGCAGCAGUGGGGAAUAUUGCACAAUGGGCGAAAGCCUGAUGCAGCGACGCCGCGUGAGGGAUGACGGCCUUCGGGUUGUAAACCUCUUUCAGCAGGGAAGAAGCGAAAGUGACGGUACCUGCAGAAGAAGCACCGGCUAACUACGUG